rnacentral:rRNA from 1 species
GAAUUUUGGACAAUGGGCGAAAGCCUGAUACAGCAAUGCCGCGUGCAGGAUGAAGGCCUUCGGGUUGUAAACUGCUUUUCUACGGAACGAAAAGCUUUGGGUUAAUACCCUGGAGGCAUGCCGGUACAGUAAGAAUCAGCACCGGCUAACUACGUGCGCGCCGCAGCGGUAAUACGUAGGGUGCAAGCGUUAAUCGGAAUUACUGGGCGUAAAGCGAGCGCAGGCGGUUUUGGAAGACAGAGUUGAAAUCCCCGGGCUCAGCCUGGGAACUGCCUUUGUUACUGCAAGGCUAGAGUACGGCAGAGGGGGGUGGGAUUCCUCGUGUAGCAGUGAAAUGCGUAGAUAUGCGGAGGAACACCGAUGGCGAAGGCAACCCCCUGGGCCUGUACUGACGCUCAUGCACGAAAGCGUGGGGAGCAAACA